UACGGAAGGGGCAAGCGUUGUUCGGAAUCACUGGGCGUAAAGGGCGCGUAGGUGGUGGCUUAAGCGUGCGGUGAAAGCUCGGGGCUCAACUCCGAGUCGGCCGUGCGAACUGGGCUCACUGGAGCAUAGUAGAGGCAGGUGGAAUUCCGGGUGUAGCGGUGGAAUGCGUAGAGAUCCGGAAGAACACCGGUGGCGAAGGCGGCCUGCUGGGCUAUGGCUGACACUGAGGCGCGACAGCGUGGGGAGCAAACAGG
rnacentral:rRNA from 1 species